GACGAACGCUGGCGGCGCGCUUAACACAUGCAAGUCGAACGGAAAGGCCUGCUUUCCCUUGUGGAUUGCGGGUACUCGAGUGGCGAACGGGUGAGUAACACGUGAGUGAUCUGCCCCCAACUUGGGUAUAAGCCUGGGAAACUGGGUCUAAUUCCCGAUAGGACUGCAGGGUGGUGCCUGUGGUGGAAAACGAUUUUCUAGUGGUUGGGGAUGAGCUCGCGGCCUAUCAGCUUGUUGGUGGGGUAAUGGCCUACCAAGGCGGCGACGGGUAGCCGGCCUGAGAGGGUGGACGGCCACAUUGGGACUGAGAUACGGCCCAGACUCCUACGGGAGGCAGCAGUGGGGAAUAUUGCACAAUGGGCGGAAGCCUGAUGCAGCGACGCCGCGUGGGGGAUGACGGCCUUCGGGUUGUAAACUCCUUUCGACCGCGAGGAAGCCACCUGGUUGGAAGGGUGGUGACGGUAGUGGUAGAAGAGGCACCGGCUAACUACGUG
rnacentral:rRNA from 1 species